rnacentral:rRNA from 1 species
UACGGAGGGUGCAAGCGUUAUCCGGAUUCACUGGGUUUAAAGGGUGCGUAGGCGGGUUGGUAAGUCAGUGGUGAAAUCUUCAAGCUUAACUUGGGAAUUGCGCUCGAAACUACUUUGCUGGAGUGUGGCAGAGGAAGGUGGAAUUCCACGUGUAGCGGUGAAAUGCGUAGAGAUGUGGAGGAACACCAAUGGCGAAGGCAGCCUUCUGGGCCAACACUGACGCUCAUGCACGAAAGCGUGGGGAGCAAACAGG